UCAGCUUGUAUUUGGCUUUAUGAAGAUGUUGAACUCCUUUAUGAAGAUGAGUGAACAUGUUGGACUUAUUUUUUUAUAUAGUAAGACAUUUAGUAAUAACUUUGUAGCUAAAAGGGAAAAUCAUUUGAUUUGUAUAUGUAAAAAUCACAGUUUCUGUAUUAAUACAUAGUGGCUGACAUGAAAGAAUCACUUUAAGAGUUGGAAGAUAAAGUAUAUGGAAUGAAUAUAUAAUUUUAAUUCAGUUUAUAUAGCUCACGUGUUCUGCUUUGUUUUCCGUGAGGAUCUAGAGAUAUCAACUGAACUAUUCUAAAACUCCUCUAGAUACCCCUGGGAAACACUUCAUUUGAUUUAAAGGAAUAAUGAGACAUUCUUAAAAGGGAGUUUUGUAAUUUCCUGUAUGGCUACUCUACAAAGUGUAGUGUUUUGAAUUCAUUGGGGGAUGUUAUAGAUUACCUAUAAUUGAAAAAUGAUUUGUUGGAGAGACAGCCAAAGUCUUUAUGCCCUCAUGAAGCUUAUUUUAAGACCUGCAUUUUUGUUCCAUCUGGAUUUGUUUCUGAAGUGGUCUAGAAAGGGCAUAUAUACAGUUGACCCUUGAACAAAAUGGAUUUGAACUGCAUGGGUCCACUUUUAUGUGGGCUGUAUAAGUACUGUUAAUGCAUUUUCUCUUCCUUAUGACAUUCUUAAUAACGUUUUCUUUUCUCUAGCUUACUUUAUUGUAAGAAUACAGUAUAUAAUACGUAUAACAUACAGAGUAUGUGUUAAUUGACUAUGUUAUUGUUAAGGCUUCUGGUUAACAGUAGACUACUAGUAGUUUUGGGGGAGUCAGAAGUUUUAUGAGGAUUUGACUGCAUGGGGUGGGUGGCAUCGGUGCCCCUAACCCUGUGUUGUUCAAAGGUCAACUGUAUAAAACCCCAUUGUUCAUUAUUUGCAUUUUUGUAGUUUAUAAAAAUACUCAGUUACUAGAUGAUAACCACUAUGAAAAUAAAACUGAAAUUUCUAAUAUUUUCAUAACCUCAGUAUUUUAUACCCUUAGUAUUUCAUAACCUCAGUGUUUUCACAGUAUUCAGUCAUAUGCAGAGAAAUUAAACAUUAGACUUAAUUGUAUUAAAAUCUAAUCAGCAGCUGUCUCCUGGUCUCAGUAAAACUGGAUGUCCUUUUAUGUUUAUUUAAUUUUCCUUACUACUUGAGAAGGUGCUUGAGAACAGGCUGAAGGAUAGGUUGUGGGAUGUGAUGGCAGCUGAGUCCCCAGCCUCGUUCUUAUACAUAGCAAGUGUUGUGAGAAAUUUGUUGAAUGGAUGGAUGAAUGAUAAAACAUAAGAAUGAGUUUCCUUCUUUUUAACAAAUGCCUAAAUCUAUUAUGUAGAAUUGUUUUUCAAUCAUAACAUUAGAGUAGCCUUUUAGGAAUAACACAAUUUAGAAGAAAGCUUUAGCAAAAAUUAAUCCUUACUGGGCAUUGGAUAUAUCCUUCUGGAAAAGUGAGUUCUUUGAAUUUUGGGUAUGUCUUCAGUUAAUGUCUUUUCUGUGAUCAAUAUUAAAACCUCACAGAGGGUGGCUGAGUGGUUCUGUCAGUUGAACAUCCGACUCUUGAUUUCAGCUCAGGUCAUGAUUCCAGGGUUGUGGGAUUGAGCCCUGUGUCAGUUUCCACACUGAGCAUGGAGCCUGCUUAAGAUAUUGUCUCUCUCCCUCCCCUUCCCUCUCCUUCUCCCUUCCCUCUCCCCCUCUCUCCUCUCUCUCUUCUUUCCUCUCCUCUCCCUCCUCCCAUCCCUUUCUCCCUCCCGCCCCCCUCCCUCUGCCCUCCCCUGCAUUUGCUCUCUCUCUAAAAAACAAACAAACAAAAAAAAACCCUCCCAAACCUCACAGAAACAAAAGGGGGACUUUCCACUUUUAUUUAUUUUUUAAAAUUUAUUUAUUUAACUUCAAGUAAGUUAACAUACAGUGUAGUAUUGAUUUCAGGAGUAGAACCCACUUACAUAUGACACCCAGUGCUCAUCCUAACAAGUGCUCUCCUUAAUGCCCGUCAUCCUUUUAGCCCAUCCCCCUAUGCACCUCCCCUCCAGCAGACCUCAGUUUGUUCUCUGUAGUUAAUAGUCUUAUGGUUUGCCUCCCUCUCUGUUUUUAUCUUAUUUUUCCUUCCCUAUGUUCAUCUGUUGUGUUUCUUAAAUUCCAUGAGUGAAAUCAUAUAUUUGUCUUUCUCUGACUUAUUUUGCAUAGCAUAACACCCUCUAGUUCUAUCUACAUUGUUGCAAAUGGCAAGAUUUCAUUUCUUUUUGAUGACUGAAUAAUAUUCCAUUGCAUACACACACACACACACACACACACACACACACACACACCCCACACCCCACCUCUUCUUUAUCCAUUCAUCAGUCAGUAGCCAUUUGGGAUCUUUCCAUAAUUUAGCUAUUUUUGAUAGUGCUGCUAUAAACAUUGGGGUGCAUGUGCCCCUUUGAAUCAGCAUUUUUGUAUCUUUUGGAUAAAUACCUAGCAGUCAAAUGCUGGGUAAUAGGGUAGUUCUAUGUUUAAUUUUUUGAGGAGUCUCCAUUCUGUUUUCCAGAGUGGCUGCGUUCCCACCAAGAGUGUAAGAGGGUUCCCCUUUCUCUCUUGCCAACGUCUCUUGUUUCCUGAGUUGUUAAUUUUAGCCACUCUGACUGGUGUGAGGUGGUAUCUCAGUGCGGUUUUGAUUUGUAUUUCCCUGAUGAUGAGUGAUGUUGAACAUUUGUAACUUCCUGAUGAGUGAUGUUGAACAUCUUUUCAUGUGUCUGUUAGCCAUCUCGAUGUGUCUGUUCCUGUCUUCUGCCCAUUACUUCACUGGAUUAUUUGUUUUUGGGUGUUGAGUUUGAUAAGUUCUUCAUAGUUUUUGGAUACUAACCCUUUAUCUGAUAUGUCAUUUGCAAAUAUCUUUUCCCAUUCUGUUGGUUGCCUUUUAGUUUUGUUGACUGUUUCCUUUGCAGUGCAGAAGAAGCUUUUUAUCCUCAUGAGGUCCCAGUAGUUCAUUUUUGCUUUUGUUUCCCUUGCCUCUGGAGACAUGUCAAGUAAGAGGUUACUGUGGCCAAGGUCAAAGAGGUUGCUGCCUGUGUUCUCCUAUAGGAUUUUGAUGGUUUUCUGACUCACAUUUAGGUCUUCCAUCCGUUUUGAAUAUAUUUUUGUGUAUGUUAUAGGAAAGUGGUCCAGGUUCCUUCUUCUGCAUGUCGCUGUCCAGUUUUCCCAGCACCAUUUGAAGAGACUAUCUUUUCCAUUCCAUAUUCUUUCCUGCUUUGUGGAAGAUGAAUUGGCCAUACAUUUGUGGGUCCAUAUCAUAUCUACGUUCUCCAUUCUGUUCCAAUGAUCUUUGCGUCUGUUUUUGUGCCAGUACCAUACAGUCUUGAUGAUUACUGCUUUGUAAUACAGCUUGAAGUCCAGGAUUGUGAUGCUUCCAGCUUUGCUUUUCUUUUUCAACAUUACUUUGGUUAUUCAGGGUCUUUUCUGGUUCCAUACAAAUUUUAGGGUCUUUUCUGGUUCCAUACAAAUUUUAGGAUUAUUUGUUCUAGCUCUAUGAAGAAUGCUAUUAUUUUUGAUGGGGAUUUCAUUGCACGUGUAGAUUGCUUUGUAGUGUCGACAUUUUAACAAUAUUUGUUCUUCAAUCCGUGAGCAUGGAAUGUUUUUCCAUUUCUUUGUGUCUUCUUCAGUUUCUUUCAUAAGCUUUCUAUAGUGUAUAGAACUUACUUUUUUGGUUAUUAGGUUUAUUCCUAGGUAUCUUAAGGUUUUUGGGGCAAUCGUAAGUGGGAUUGUUUUCUUAAUUUCUCUUUCUGCAACCAGUUUCAUUAUGUUGAUUUUAUAUUCUGUGACUUUGUUGAAUUCAUAUAUCAAUUCUAGCAGUUUUUUGGUGGAGUCUUUUGGGUUUUCCACGUAGAGUAUCAUGUCAUCUGUGAAGAGUGAAAGUUUGACUUCUUCCUUCCUUCCUUGUAUGCCUUUUAUUUCUUUUUGUUGUCUGAUUGCUGAGGCUAGGACUUCCAAUACUAAGUUGAACCACAGUGGUGAGAGUGGAAAUCCCUGUUCCUGACCUUAGUGACAAAGCUCUCAGUUUUUCCCCAUUGAGGAUGUUACAGCUGUGAGUCUUUCAUAUAUGGCAUUUAUAAUGCUGAGGUAUGUUCCUUCUACUCCCAACUUUCUUGAGAGUUUUUAUCAAGAGAGAAUGCUGUAUUUUGUCAAAUGCUUUUUCUGCAUCUAUUGAGAGGAUCCUAUAGUUCUUUUUUUUUUUUAAUGUUUAUUCAUCUUUGAGAGACAGAGAGAGACAGAGCAUGAGGGGGGAAGGGGCAGAGAGGGAGACACAGAAUCGGAAGCAGGCUCCAGGCUCCGAGCUGUCAGCACAGAGUCCAACGCAGGGCUUAAACUCACGAACUGCGAGAUCAUGACCUGAGACAAAGUCGGACCCUCAACCAACUGAGCCACCCAGGUGACCCUGAGAGGAUCAUAUAGUUCUUAUCCUUUCUUGUGUUAAUGUGGUGUAUUGCAUUGAUUGAUUUGAGAACACUAAGCCAGCCCUGCAGCCCAGCAAUAAAUCCCAUUUGAUCAUGGUGAAUAGUGCAGUUGAGUGUCUCUUAGUUUCGGCUCAGGUCAUGAUCUCAUGGUCCUUGGGUUCGAGCCCCGUGUCGAGCUCUGCACUGACAGCGUGGAGCCUGGUUGGGAUUCUCUCUUUCUGCCCCUCCCCAACUCACGUGUGCAUGCUCUCUCUCUCUCUCUCUAAAUAAAUAAAUAAACUUAAAAAAUAAAAUAAAAAGAGAAUACUAUUUAAGAAAAUGAAUGUCUGGUAGAAUUCCCCUGGGAGGCCAUCUGGCCCAGGACUCUGGGAGAUUUGUUUGUUGGGAGAUUUUUGAUAACUGAUUCAGUUUCUUUGCUGGUUAUGGGUAUGUUCAAAUUUUCUGUCUCUUACUGUUUCAGUUUUGGUAGUGCAUGAGUUUCUAGGAAUUUGUCCAUUUCUUCCAGAUUGCCUCGUGUGUUGGCAUAUAAUUUUUCAUGGUAUUCUCGUACAGAUGUUUGUAUUUCUGUAGUGUUUGUUGUGAUCUCUUUCAUUCAUGAUUUUAUCUAUUUGGGUCCUCUCUCUUUUCUUUUUUAUAAGCCUGGCUAGGGGCUUAUCAAUUUUGUUUAUUCUUUCAAAGAACCAGCCAGCAUUGCCACUUUUUGAUUGUUUUCUGACGGUCAUACUUCUGCUAGUGCAUUCUUAAAAUUGCCGUUGCUAUUAUUAUUACAGGAUACUUCCAUGACAGUGUGCAACUGAAUUGAAUGAUUUUUUAUUUUUAAUUGAAAUUUGUAUUGAGAUAAUUGUAGAUUCCCAUACAGUUGUAAUUAAUAAUACAGAGAGAUCCUGUAUACCCUUUACCCAAUACCUACUGUCACCCAAUGAUAACAUCUUGUAAAACUAUAGUACGAUAUUACAACAAAGAUAUUGACAUUGAUACAAUCUGUCUAUUCAGAUUUCCUCAGUUUUAGUAGUAGUGUUCAUUUGUUUUUGUUUUUUUUAAUGUUUGUGUAUUUAUUUUGCAAGAGACAGUGAUCGGGGGAGGGGCAGAGAGAGAGGGAGACAGAGAAUUCCAAGCAGGCUCCUCACUGUCAGUGCAGAGCCAGAUGUGGGGCUCCAUCCCACGAAUUGUGAGAUUAUGACCUGAGCCAAAACCAAGAAUCAGAUGCUCAAUGGACUGAGCCACCCAGGCCUCGUGUCCGUGUCUGCGUGUGUGUUUAAUUUGAUACACGUUUUAUUUACACCACAGUUAACAUACUGAGCAUUUCUGUUGCCACAAGGAUCCUUCCUGUUGCCCAUUUAUAAGCACACCCACUUCCCUCACAUACUGUUUUGGCCCCUCAUCCACUUUCGGCAACCACUAAUUUGUUACUCAUUUCUUUAAUUUUGACAUUUCAAACAUUAUACAUGGACAAACGUUAUAUAACCUUUUGGCAUUGACUUUUUUUUACUCCAUAUAAUUCCCUGGAGAUUCAUUCAGAUUGUUGCAUAUAUCACUUAGUUCCUUUUAAUUGCUAAGUAGUCCAUGGUAUGUGUGUGACACUCAUUCAUCAAUUAAUGGACAUUUGGGUUGUUUCCACUUUUUCACUAUUAUGAAUAAAACUGGUAUGAACUUUUUUUUUUAAUGCUACAGAUAUUCUUGUCUAGGUUUUAGUGUGAACAGAAGUUUUCAUUUUCCUGGGAUAAAUGCCUAGAAGUGCAAUUUCUGGGUUGUGUCAUAAUUGCCUGUUUAGUUUUAUAAGGAACCACCAAACUGCUUUUCAGAGUGACUGUGCCAUUUUAUGUUCCUCUGCAUCUUUGCCAGUAUGUGGUUUUGUCACUGCUUUUUUCUUUUUAAAAUUUAUUUAUUUUGAGAGAGCACAUGGGUGUGCCUGCUAGCAGGGGAGGGGCAGAGAGAGAGAGGGAGGGAGAGGGAGAGAGAAUCCCAAGCAGGCUCCACACAGUGAGCACAGAGGCUGGGAGCUUGGUCACAUGAACCAUGAAAUCAUGACCUGAGCCAAGAUCAAGAGUCGGAUGCUUAACUGACUGAGCCACCCAGGUGCCCCUCUUUAUGUAUUUUCAAUACUUUAUCACAUGUGUGGUCGGCAAAUAUGUUCUCCCAGUCCAUAGCUUGUCUUUUACUAUUCACAGGGUGUUUCAGAGAGAAGAUGUUUUUAAUUUUGAUGAUAUUCAAUUUAUCCAUUUUGCUUUUUCUUCUGCAUACACUGUUUUUGGUGUCCUGUUGAAGAACUAUUCUCCAAGCCUUACAUUCCGAACGUUUUCUCCUAUGUUAUUUUUUUUUUUAAAGUUUUAUGGUCUUAUGUUUUACAUUUAAGUCUGUGUUCUAUUUUGACUUAAUGUUUGUGUAAUGUGUGAAGUUUAGGUUGAGGUUGAUUUGUUUUGCCUUUGGAUAUGCCAUUGUUCCAGCACCAUAUUUUGAAAAGGCUUUCUGUCCUUCACUGAAGUGUUUUCACACCUUUAAAAAUAAGACGUUUGCUGUACUUGGGUGGGUGUAUUUCUGGGUUCUCUCUUCUGUUUUCUGUGUGUCUAUCCCUCUGCCAUUCCUGUACUCUGUUGGUGUUUUAGCUCUAUAAGGAGUCUUACUAGGGAGUGGAAUGAUUCCUUCUCACUUUAUUCUUCUCUGUCAGUAUCGUUUUAGGUAUUCCCUGGCCUUUACCCUUUUAUGUAAAUUUAGAAUAAAUUUCUCUAUGUCUACAAAAAGCCUUGCUGAUAUUUUGAUAGGAAAGGAAUCGCAAUAAGCCUAAAAGUCAGUUUGGGGAGAAAUGAAAUACUUAUUAUGUUGAGUCGUCCAAUCCAUGAACAUAAUAUGCCUCCCCAUUUGUUUAGGUCUUUGAUUUCUUUUAUCAGUGUUUUGUAACUUGCAAUGUACAGAUCCUGUACAUAUUUUGUUAAAUGUAUAUACCCGAGUUCUUUUUUGGGUGUGGGAAGGAUGAUUUAAAAUGGUACUGUGUUUUUUUGUUUUUUUAAAAUGUUUUUUACAUUUAUUUAUUUUUGAGAGAGAGAGACAGUGUGAGCAGGGGAGGGGCAGAGAGAGAGAGUGAGACACAGAAUCAGAAGGAGGCUCCAGGCUCUGAGCUGUCAGCACAGAGCCCGAUGCAGGGCUCUACCCCACAAACCGUGAGAUCAUGACCUGAGCUGAAGUCGGACGCUCAACCGACUGAGCCACCCAGGUGCCCCUGGUACUGUGUUUUUAAUUUCAUUUUUCACAUUGAAUAAUCUUUGUGAUUUUUUUUUUUCUUCAGGAAAGUGUUCACAUAUUUAAAUUUGUAGAAGAAAUUAAAAAAAAAUUUUUUUUAAUGUUUAUUUACUUAUUUAGAGAGAGAGAGUGAGCAGGGAGGGGCAGAGAGAGAGGGAGAGAGAGAAUCCCAAGCAAGCUCCACACUGUCAGCGUGGAGCCUGACGCAGGGCUCGAACCCACGAACCAUGCGAUCCUGACCUGAGCCAAGAUCAAGAGUCAGACACUUAACCAACAGAGCCACCUCAGUUCCCCAUGGGAAUACAGAUGGGAGGCCAAGUUAAAUCUUAACACUGCAAAAGCUAUGUUUAAUAUGUAAUAACAAUUUUGUUGUGUGUAAUAAUAAUUAGAUUGGAUUGGGUUUAGAGAAAGAUACAAGUACAGAAUUUAUUAUUUUACAGUUAUUUUAUGUUUCACUUGGAAUAAAUUGGAAAUACCUGGACUUAAGAUUCAGAUUAAUAAUUAGAAAAUCUGACAUGUAUAUCUUUUGUCUGAACAGUAAUUACAGUGUCCCAAGGGUGUAGGUGUUAGAGCAUCAUGAAAUGAGAAUAUUGAGAAGAACUUAUCAGUUAACAUAUGUAUAUAAAUGAUUAAAUUUUAAGCACUUGGAACCUUGCUUCUACUGGGAAAAUGAUAAAAGAAUGUUAUCAGAUGGACAACACAAGAUAUAAACCCAAACCCAGUGUCUACAGUGUCCAGUCUUUCUAAAUGUAAAGAUGAACAUUAGAACUAUUCACAGGACCACUAUCUCUUAUGUUUAGCAAAAAUAGAUAACAUACAGCCCAACCCUGAUGAGACUUUAAGGAAAUGUUUCCAGUUAUAUAAUACUGUUGACAUUGCAAGUAUAAAUAGAACUUUUACAGAAAAAUCUGGCAGUAAGUAUUAUGAAAGAAAAACAUUUUGCCCAAAGAUACUUAUUGGAGUUCUAUUUGUUUUGGAAACUAUUAGAGAAUAUUGUGUCAGUAUGAUAGAAUAAUAUUCAUGAACAAGAAUUAUUUAUGUUUGCUAUUGAUUUAUAGACCUACAUUACAAAAUAAAGUCAAUUAAAGGGCAAAAUAAAAAUUGUGUGUAAAUGCUAUUUCUGAUUACAGAAAACUUUUGUGUGCUAAACUGGUAUAAGUGGCAAUUGGUUAAAAUUUAUAGUUUUUUUCUGUUUUAAAGUUGUAUAAAACAAAUUCUGAAGAAAAAAGACAAGUUUUGGAACAAGAGGCAGGAAGGAGUGUUGGGUUUUAGAUCUACUUUUGUACUUUAGCCAUGGUUUGUACAGCACUCAGCAUGCACGGGGCGUAUUGCUAAGGACUUGUAUGGAUUAUGUCACUUAAUCGCUAUUCUGCCUCUGUGGUCUGGUAUACUGGUAGUCUCAUUUUCAGCUGAGCAAAUAGAGGUUCAGAGAAGUUUGGUGACUUGCCCAAGAUUACACCAGUAGCAAGCAAGUAGGUUAGAAAAUUCUAGAACCUGCAUUCUUAUGCACUGUACUGUUGCUCUCUGCUGUCAUUAGUAAUUGUAUGCAUGCUCUGAGGGCUAUUCCUGUUGAAUAUGGGCACAGGACUCAAACAUGUAUGUGUUUCACAUGGUGCAGAACAUUUGUUGUUAUUCGCGUUAAGAAGUGUGAGAAAACAUGUAUUUGCUUAUAUACAGACAAAAACCUCUGGAAAGAUAAGCAAGAAACUGAUAACAUUGGUACUUCUUGAAAGAAAGGUGACUUUAAGAAGUUCUUCCCUUCUGAGCACCUUGUUUUCCUCAUUGCAAAGCAUAGAAAUUGUAUAGAUGACAUCCUAUCUUUAAAGUUUGGUACCAUAAAGUAGAUGAUUUCUGGGUCUUGUUUGAAAAGAUAAAUUUUGUGUUAUGACUGUAUUUUAUUUUUAGCAAUUAAAGAAUCCUUAUUAAUUUUUAAAGAUUUGUGAAUAUAGAUGAUCCAUAAUAACUUGUUUGCUUUAUAUAUUUUUUAGUUAAAUGGACUUUUUGUGGUAUUUAGGAGCAUUUACGAGCCUGUUACAUAUAGUAAAGUUUUAAUCAUACUAGUAAAGUGCUAUAUACAACCAGGUAGAUGUAUUCAACUACAUUUUACAUAACGGAACAGAAAUUUGAAUAUACUUAAUCUCUUUUUGGGCUACAGUGAGAAACUCGUUCUUUGUUAGGUGUACAGGUUACUCUACUGUUGGAGGCUGUCCUGUAAAUGAGCAUCACGUCAGGUCCAUACCAGCUAUCCUAAUCCUGAUCAGUACUUUACGUGGUUUAGUUUGUCUUGGAGCCAUCAGUGACUCCUGCUGUAGCCAGUGCAUGUGGUCAUUUGUUAGGUCAGUGAGCAUUUGAGUGCAUAUUAUUUGCAAGGCAGAAUAGUAGGUGUUAGAGAAUUGCUGAUGAAGAAAACUAGUCUCAGCCUUUGGAGAGAUUGUACUAGGGUAAGAAAUAAUCUGGCGAAUAUGAUACCAUAUGACAAAUGUUGUGAUUUAGCCCUGUGGGAACAGACAGAAUGGUCACCUAACUUAGCUGGGAUUUGGGAGUCUGGAGUCAAGAAAGGCCUUUUUAAAGGAGGAUGUACUUGAAGUCUGAAUGGUAAGAGAAUGAAUGAAUCUGUGUUAGCAAAGUGGCUGGGAGGGCCAUCCAGGCAGAUGGUGAGCGUCCUGUCAUUUAAGAAAACGACACCUCUAGUACCACUGGAGUAGGGGUUUGAGAAUGCUGGACAGGUAAGCAGGGGUCUGAUUGCAGAGAGGACAUAUGUAGUACUGGGACCUGGGUGUGUGUUUGUUCAUUCGUUUAAUAGCCAUGGAAGGUUUAUGCUGGGAAUGUCAUGAUCAGGGUUUUGCUUCAGUAAAACCCAGACUACUCUGGAAAAUGGGUUGGAAGAAGACGAGAGUGGAAGUAAACAGUCUGAUAAUUAAGCUGUUGCAGUAAGUAGUCCAAGUGUGACUUUAUGGAGGCCAAAGAUUAGGCUGGAGUAGGUGGGGAUUGAGAGAAAUAGGUGGACAUUUAGGAGGUUGGAUCAAGAGAGAUGCAGUGAUUGUGCUAAGGGAGAAGGAACAAUUAGGUAUGAUGCCCGGGUUUCUGGAUUGUUCAGAUUGGUUACAUGUCCAUGCUAUUCCCUCAGAUAGAAACUCAGAGAACAAUUAUUUAGGAGAGAAGGAUGGGUAGAGAAAAUAUGCCUGUCUUAUACUUUUUUUUCCUCAAGUUUUUAUUUUAAUCACUUAGUGCUCAUCACAAAUGCACACUCCUUAAUCCCCUUAAUCACCCACCUACCCCGCCCCCAUCCCCUCUGGUGACCAUUAGUUUGUUCUCUGUAAUUAAGAGUCUGUUUCUUAGUUUCUCUUUUUCCCCUUUGCUCAUUUGUUUUGUUUUUUAAGCAUCUUUUUAAAAAAAAAUUAUUUAUUUUGAGAGAGAGCAUGAGAGUGAGUGGGGGAGGGGCAGAGAGAGAGAGGGAGAGAGAAUCCCAAGCAGGCUCCAUGUUGUCAGUGCAGAGCCCUAUGUGGGGCUUGAUCCCACGAACUGUGAGAUCAUGACCUGAGCCAAAACCAAGAGUUGGACACUCAACCGACUGAGCUACCCAGGCAGUCCUGUUUCUUAAACAUCUUCUUUAUCCUUUGAUUAAUCGAUGGACACUUGGGCUGCUUCUGUAUCCUGGCUAUUGUAAAUAACACUGCUAUAAAUAUAGGAGUGCAUGUGUCCCUUUGAAUUAGUGUUUUUGUAUUCUUUGGGUAAAUACCCAGUAGUGUGAUUGCUGGGCCAUAGGGUAGUUCUAUUUUUAACUUUCUGAGGAACCUCCAUUCUGUUUUUCAGAGUGGCUGCACCAGUUUGCAUUCCCACCAACAAUGCAAGAGGGUUCCCCUUUCUCUGCAUCCUCGCCAACACCUAUUGUUUGUUGCGUUGUUGAUUUUAGCCAUUCUGACAGGUGUGAGGUAUAGUUUUGAUUUGCAUUUCUCUGACAGUGAGUGACGAUGAAUAUCUUUUCAUAUGUCUGUUGGCCAUCUGUAUGUCUUCUUUGGAGAAAUGUCUGUUCAUGUCUUCUGCCCAUUUUUAAAUUGGAUUAUUUGUUUUUGGGUGUUGAAUUUUAUGAGUUCUUUACAUAUUUUAGAUACCCUUUAUUGGAUAUGUCUUUUGUAAGUAUCUUCUCCCAAUUUGUAGGUUGCCAUUUAGUUUUUGUUGAUUGUUUCCUUUACUGUAUAGAAGCUUUUUAUUUUUUAAAUUUGUUUUAUUUUUUAAAGUUUUUAUUUUAAUUUCCAUUAGUUAACUUACAGUGUUAUAUUGGUUUCAGGUGUACGAUACAGUAAUUUAGCACUUCCACACAUCACCGUGUAGUCAUCACAACAAGUGCAGAAGCUUUUUAUUUUGAUGUAGCCUCAAUAGUUUAUUAUUGCUUUUGUUUUCCUUGCCUCAGGAGACAUAUCUAGAAAAAAGUUGCUCAGCUGAUGUCAGAGAAAUUACUGCCUGUGCUCUCUUCUAGGAUUUGUAUGGUUUCAGGUCUUACAUUUAGGUCUUUAAUCCAUUUUGAAUUUAUUUUUGUGUAUAGCAUAGGAAAGUGGUCCAGUUUCAUUCUUCCACAUGUUGCUAUCCAGUUUUCCCAACACCAUUUGUUGAAGAGACUUUUUCAUUGGAGAGUCUUUCAUUGGAUGGUCAAAGAUUAAUUAAUUGAUGAUAUAAUUGUGGGCUUAUUUCUGGAUUUUGUAUUCUGUUCCCUUGAUCUAUAUGUUUCUAUUUUUGUGCAAGUACCAUGCUGUUUGAUUACUACAGCUUUGUGAUAUAACUUGAAGUCUGGAAUUGUGAUGCCUCCAACUUAGUUUUUUUUUUUUUUUCCUCUUUAAGAUUGCUUUGGCUAUUCCAGGUCUUUUGUAGUUUCAUACAAAUUUUAGGAUUGUUUGUUCUAGUUCUGUGAAAAAUGCUGUUGGUAUUUUGAUAGAGAUUGCAUUAAAUGUGUAGAUUGCUUUGGGUAGUGUAGACAUUUUAACAGUGUCCUUCCAAUCUAUGAACAUGGAAUGUCUUUCCGUUUCUUUGCAUCAUCUUCAGUUUCUUUCAUCAGUGUUCUAUCGUUUUCAGAGUACAGGUCUUUCACCUCUUUGGUGAGGUUUAUUUCUGGGUAUCUUACCAUUUGGGGUACAGUAGUAAAUGGGAUUGUUUUCUUAAUUUCUUUUUCUGCUGUUUCAUUAUUGAUGUGUAGAAGUGCAACAGAUUUCUGUAGAGUAAUUUUGUAUCCUGCGACUUUACUGAAUUUGUUAAUCAGUUCUAGCAGUUUUUUGGUAGAGUUUUUCAGGUUUUCUGUAUAUAAUAUCAUGUCAGCUGCAAAUAGGGAAAGUUUGACUUCUUCCUUAUAGAUUUUUAUGCCUUUUAUUUCUUUUUGUUGUCUGAUUGCUGUGGCUAGGAUGUUCAGUGGUAUAUUGAAUAGAAGUGGUGAGAGUGGACAUCCUUGUCUUGUUCUUGACCUUAGGGGAGGGGCUCUCCAUUCUUCCUCAUUGAGGGUGAUGUUUGCUGUGGGUUUUUCAUAUAUGGUCUUUAUUAUGUUGAAGUCUGUUCCCUUUAAACCUAUUUUGUUGAUGGUUUUUAUCGUGAAUGGAUGUUGUACUUUGUCAAAUGCUUUUUCUGCAUCUGUUGAAAAUGAUCAUAUGGUUUGACACUCUUAUUCUUUUUUUUUUUUUUUUAAAGUUUACUUAUUUUUGAGAGCGACAGAGACAACAUGAGUGGGGUGGCAGAGAGAGAGGGAGAGUGAGAGAGAAUCCCAAGCAGGCUCUGUGCUGACCUGAGCUGAAACCAAGAGUUGGAUGUUUAACCCACUCAGCCAGCCAAGCGCCCCCGACUCCCUUAUUUUUAUAAAAAUAUCCUGGAGCGCCUGGGUGGCUCAGUUGGUUAAGUGUAUGACUUCGGCUCAGGUCAUGAUCUCAUGGUUAGUGAAUUUGAGCCCUGUGCUGACAGCUCAGACCCUGGAGCCUUCUUUGGAUUCUGUGUCUCCCUCUCUCUCUGCCCCUUCCCUGCUCAUGCUCUGUUUCUCUCUCAAAAAUAAAAAAUAAACAUUAAAAAAAAUGUUUUAAAAAUUUUCCUGAUUCUCAGCAACUCAUUUUAUUUAAUAAUUUGUGAUCUAUAAAUUCUUCCUUCUUAUCAACUUCAAGAUACAGUAAAUGCACUUUAAACUCAUUUGUUUUUGGACUUCGGUGUUUUAUCUUUUCCUUAUUUAUCUUUGCUAUCAAUGCUUUGGGUUUAAGUGAAAAAUCUUUAGAUCAAGGCAGUGUUCCAUGUGAUCCAAAUACAGUGAAGGUAAUGAUCAGUUUAAAUGUUUAUUUCAUAUUUCGGUAUUUUUUAUUUUGAUGAAAUUGGCAACUCACAUUUUGUUUUUGGUGAGCAGCCAUAUUAUUAGAUAAAUAUCAGUGCCAAUUGCAAUUUAAUUUUUAAUUUAAGUACAAAGCUUUGGUGUGAUUUUUAAUAAAUAAACUCUUCAUUGGUAGUUUAUGUUACUUGAAAACAAACUAACAUAAAUCUACCAAAUGCAUCAAUAUAACUUUAGGCAUUGUUUUUUCCAUCUUUAAUCUUUUAGUACAGAAAGAAUGAUUGUGGUGCUUCAAGUUAACUAAAUCAGAAAUAACCAAAGUUAAAAAAAAAAUACUAAGUAUUAUGAACUAGGAAGAAAAGGGAGCAGUACUUUUAAAGGCAUGAAAUAAAUUUGGUUAUAAUUUAAUAUAAAGAUAGCAAUGUGUGCUAUAGCUUGCUACAGUUGCUCUUUUUCUUUGAAUCAGAAAUAAUGCUAUAAAUGGGUAAUAGUAUAAAUAUGCCAUAAUUCAUCAGAUAUAAGGAGCUAUCAAUUGUAAGACAUGUUAUUAUUUUAUGCUGUAUUAAAAGAAUAAAUGCUGCUGGUUAAUAAUGCCUUCUUAUAACUUAAUAUUUUUAUUUUGUGCUUAUAGAAAGAGCUAUUUGAGACUUAGACACAAGCUUUUAUUAUCACACUGCUCUGCUCAUUGCCUUUCUGUUAUACAUUAACUUCAUGAAGACUUUGGCAGUUAAAACCUGUAUGUAUAGUACCAACGGUGUUAAUACCUGGAGUCAAGCGUGCUAGACCAUUUUUGUGCAUAUGCAGUCAUGUUGAUGGGCUGAUGGUAAGACUCAUUCCACUGAGAGAAAUCAAAGUAUGCUUUAUCACCUUGCUUUAGAUGUGAGGCAGAAAGGGAAGAGGGAAGGAUGAGGCUUAAAAGAUAGCAGCAGUAAAAUGGAGUUGGACUCCUAAUUACAUCAAGGAAAGAGGAAUCUAACAUCCUAAAUAAUAAGAGGAGCCAUUUAAAAAAAAAUUUUUUUUUAACGUUUCAUUUAUUUUUGAGACAGGGAGAGACAGAGCAUGAACAGGGGAGGGUCAGAGAGAGGGAGACACAGAAUCUGAAACAGGCUCCAGGCUCUGAGCUGUCAGCACAGAGCCCGACGCAGGGCUCAAACUCACGGAGCGCGAGACCAUGACCUGAGCCGAAGUCGGCCGCUUAACCGAUGGAGCCGCCCAGGCGCCCCAAGAGGAGCCAUUUUUGAACAGCAUGGGAUGGUGACAGUGACAGUGGCAGUGGGUUGGGAAUGGGAUGUGGAAUUCUUCUUAGCGAAACGCUGUUAAGAUGUCUUGCUGGAGAUGUAAGGUGGGCAGUUGCAUGUUUGGCGUCAGUGUACAUGUAAGAGGGAGCGGUUAAGAAUGUAGGCUCUGGAAGUGACUUUGAGCCAUAGUUUCCUCCUGUGUAAAAUGGCGAUAAUCCAAAAUGCCCUUUAGGGCUUUUGGUUUAGCUUUAGAAUAUUGCCUGAAACCUAGAGAGGACUCAGUAAAUGUUUUCUGCUCUCAUGAUUGAUCUUCAUCAUCACCAUCAUCCAAAACAUGGGCUUUGGAGAUACAGACCUUAGUUGGAAAGUAAGCAAGACUUCUGGCAAGUUACAUAAUCAUUCAAUUUCUUUAUCUAAAGUUGGGGUAGUAAAAUCUAGCUCAUGGGUAAUAGUAUAAAUGAAAAAAGAAAGAUAGGCAUGCAGUGUAGGCAUUAAGGCAUAUGUCCUGUUUUUUAGCAGUUUAUACUUUAGUUGGAGGAAAUAAGCACUAAAUAUGUAAAAAAUUAAUAGCACAGAGAUAUUUAUAAGAAGUGACAUAAAGGUUGGAUAAAACGAUAAGAUUAAGAAUUAGGAACACGACUAGAAGUUGGGAGUCCCACCUCACUUUUUCUCCUGAUUAGCUGUGUGAUGUUGGGCAAGUUAUCAUUAUCCUGUCAAUACUGUGAGACUCAGUAUUUUCAUUUACAAAGUGUGAGUUGAUUGGGCAAGAUGAUUUCUUAGGUUACUUCCUUGUUAAGGGUUUCUUACGUGAUUUCGGCAUUUAGAGAGAAGCGAUUACUACCAUAGUAUGGAACAGUUAGGGAGGCUAGGAGGAGAUGGGACGUGAAAAGGGUGUUGGUUUGAUGAAAAUUGUAUCAGGGAACAAGAGAGUUUUGGAAUCUUGAAGAUACCUUUUUUCUUGUGUUAUAAUUGUGAGAAAUUAGCCUAUCCUCACAUUUCCAUGUUUCAUUUCUGGUAGGUUUUAUUUAUGAAUUUCACAAAUAUUUGAAUUUAUAUUUUGUCAGGUUCAUUGAACGUUCUUGCUCGUUUUCCUUGUACGUGCUGCGUCCCUCUAGGGCAGCAGUUCUUAGGAUGGCUCUCAAGAUCCCAUUAUACUAGUCAAUAUGGAGGCCUCCAGAGACCUUUUGUUUAGCAAUAUUUACGGGAUUAGAAGUUAAUUUUAGAAAUUAAAAAAUACUUAUUAAUUUAAAAGUAACAAACCCAUUAUGUUAAUAUAGAUUUUUUUGCACACAACCUAACUAUAUUUUCAAAAACAAAAAGUUUAAUGAGAUAAGUUUUACAUUUUUACAAAUCUCUUUAAUAUGUGGCUUACUUGAAGACCAUCAGAUUCCCAGAUCUGAUUUAUAUUUUGGUUGAAGUACUAUUGAAGAAAAUGUGGUUUAUACAUAUAAACAGUUGGAAAAGGAAGAAUGUUUUAACAUCUUUUUAUAUAAUUGUGGAUACUCUUUGAUGUUACACCAAAACUCCAGUAGUUGUUAUUGGUUAGUUGCAAUGUGGACUCUGAAAUCCUGCCAGUGAACUUGUAGUAAGUACUCUGUCAUAAUGAAAUCCAUUAGUUUAGCCUGCACUUUGAAUGAGUACUUUGUCUUUUAUCCAUAUGUGUUUUGGCCCCACAGACCCCCGAAAGAGUAUUAAGGAUUCCCAAGGGUCCCUGGAUCAUACACUGAGAAUCACUACUAUAGGAUAUAUACCUAAGAGGAUAAUUGCUAAUUUGAAAGUUAUGGGCAUUUUAAACCUGGCCAGUUUGGCACUGUCUCGUUAAGUGGUUAUUCCAAUUUAUAUUCCCACCAGCAGUUUAGGGGGGUUCUAUGAGCCCCAUAACUUCAAUACCACUUGGUAUCAGUAGUAUUUUUGCUGGCUAGGUUGGUAUAAGAAAUGCAACUUUACAUCUUUUGUGUCUGUUUCUCUUAGAUUCUAUUUAUCCAACUGUUUCUUUUGUGUCAGUGAAGAUAGUCCUUAAGAAUAUCUUUUUCUCUUAGUCAUUACUUCAGGAAUUUCAACAUCCAUGCUUACUAAGGUUUACAGGUAAUCAAUAUCUUUAGCUUCCUCCAGAAAAUUACAGGGGCCUUAGAAUACUUUAACUCAAUCACCUACUCCCUGGCUUGGAUAUAAUUAUUUUUCAAAAAUUGGGGCUUUUUAUUGACAUUCAAAUUAGUAUUACUUUUGUAUAGAUCCCUUAAAGACUUAGGAAAGAAUUGGUGAAGGCAAAUUCUAGGAGUUGCUAGAGAAUAUUGCAAUAUACCUCAAAUAUUACAUAUUUUUCCAUGUUAUCAAAUAGUGACAAAUUAAAAAUGUAAACUUGUGCUACUUACCUCUUAAAACCAUAAUUAAAUUUAAUAGAAUUGGAAGAUUAAUUUCUUGAGCAACAGGCAGUUUGGUGAAUAUAUUUUAUGCUAAAGUCUAAUUUUAUUUUGACCUUGAGUCAAAUUAAGGUUUUAUUAUUCUGGGGCUUUAAUUGUAAAGGCAUCCAGUUCAAGUUGGCUGGUAUGGAAUGCAAUGAUAAAUAAAUUGAAUGGCCUUUUAAAGUGUGUAUUAUGUCUUGCAUCCUGUCCUCAUUAUGAAUUUAUAUAUUAUAGAAAGUUCAAAAAAGGAGCUUGGAAUUUUUAUUAGCAUUUUUUGGAAUACUCGCUAUGUGGUGGUCCUUUUGAUUUCUCAAUGACUGCUCCUCAGGGUGUAAGCAUUAUUAUUCCCCUUUUAUUGGUGAAGAAAAUGCAAAUAAUAUACAGAUAGUAAGUGAUAAAGCCAAGGUUUGGGCUGAGGGUUUGUUUUUUUCCCCAUUUAGAUUUUAUUUUAAAACAUUAAUGGUAGAAAAUCUGUUUGGAAA